GCUUGGCCGUAAAUCUUGAUGCUUACCUCACCAAAGCAUCCGCCUGGGAACUACGAGCACAAACGCUUAAAACUCUAAGGACUUGGCGGUGCCCCAAACCCACCUAGAGGAGCCUGUUCUAUAAUCGACAACCCACGAUACACCCGACCACUUCUUGCUAAAAACAGCCUACAUACCGCCGUCGCCAGCUCACCUCCCCUGAGAGCAUAACAGUGAGCAUAAUCGCCCUAACCCCGCUAGUAAGACAGGUCAAGGUAUAGCCUAUGAAGUGGAAGAAAUGGGCUACAUUUUCUAACCUAGAAAACCCUUAAACUCCAACGAAAGGGAGCAUGAAACAACUCCCAGAAGGCGGAUUUAGCAGUAAAGCGGGAUAAUAAAGCCCCCUUUAAGCUGGCUCUGAGGCAC
rnacentral:rRNA from 1 species